rnacentral:rRNA from 1 species
AUUGAACGCUGGCGGCAUGCUUUACACAUGCAAGUCGAACGGCAGCGCGGGCUUCGGCCUGGCGGCGAGUGGCGAACGGGUGAGUAAUGCAUCGGAACGUGCCCAGUAGUGGGGGAUAGCCCGGCGACAGCCGGAUUAAUACCGCAUACGACCUGAGGGUGAAAGCGGGGGACCGAAAGGCCUCGCGCUAUUGGAGCGGCCGAUGUCGGAUUAGCUAGUUGGUGGGGUAAAGGCUUACCAAGGCGACGAUCCGUAGCUGGUCUGAGAGGACGACCAGCCACACUGGGACUGAGACACGGACCAGACUCCUACGGGAGGCAGCAGUGGGGAAUUUUGGACAAUGGGGGCAACCCUGAUCCAGCCAUGCCGCGUGCGGGAAGAAGGCCUUCGGGUUGUAAACCGCUUUUGUUCGGGAAGAAAUCCUCUGGGCUAAUACCCCGGGGGGAUGACGGUACCGGAAGAAUAAGCACCGGCUAACUACGUG